rnacentral:rRNA from 1 species
UACGUAGGGGGCAAGCGUUGUCCGGAUUUAUUGGGCGUAAAGAGCGUGUAGGCGGCUAGAUAGGUCCGUUGUGAAAACUCGAGGCUCAACCUCGAGACGUCGAUGGAAACCGUAUGGCUAGAGUCCGGAAGAGGAGAGUGGAAUUCCUGGUGUAGCGGUGAAAUGCGCAGAUAUCAGGAAGAACACCCGUGGCGAAGGCGGCUCUCUGGGACGGUACUGACGCUGAGACGCGAAAGCGUGGGGAGCGAACAGG